rnacentral:rRNA from 1 species
UACGUAGGGGGCUAGCGUUGUCCGGAAUCAUUGGGCGUAAAGAGCGCGUAGGCGGCCAGACAAGUCCGGUGUGAAAGUCACAGGCUCAACCUGUGAAUGCCGCUGGAAACUGUCUGGCUAGAGUCCGGAAGGGGCGAGUGGAAUUCCUGGUGUAGCAGUGAAAUGCGCAGAUAUCAGGAGGAACACCUAUGGCGAAGGCAGCUCGCUGGGACGGUACUGACGCUGAGGCGCGAAAGCGUGGGGAGCGAACAGGA